CUGAGAGUUUGAUCCUGGCUCAGAACGAACGCUGGCGG
rnacentral:rRNA from 1 species